rnacentral:rRNA from 1 species
GGUUAAGCGACUAAGCGUACACGGUGGAUGCCCUGGCAGUCAGAGGCGAUGAAGGACGUGCUAAUCUGCGAAAAGCGACGGCGAGGUGAUAUGAACCUUUGACCCGUCGAUGUCCGAAUGGGGAAACCCAGUGCAAUCCGUUGCACUAUCGUUAACUGAAUACAUAGGUUAACGAGGCGAACCGGGGGAACUGAAACAUCUAAGUACCCCGAGGAAAAGAAAUCAACCGAGAUUCCCCCAGUAGCGGCGAGCGAACGGGGAGCAGCCCGGAGUCUGAAUCAGCUUGUGUGUUAGUGGAACGGUCUGGAAAGUCCGACGGUACAGGGUGAUAGUCCCGUACACGAAAACACACUUGUUGUGAACUCGAAGAGUAGGGCGGGACACGUGGUAUCCUGUCUGAAUAUGGGGGGACCAUCCUCCAAGGCUAAAUACUCCUGACUGACCGAUAGUGAACCAGUACCGUGAGGGAAAGGCGAAAAGAACCCCGGCGAGGGGAGUGAAAAAGAACCUGAAACCGUGUACGUACAAGCAGUGGGAGCCUCUUUAUGGGGUGACUGCGUACCUUUUGUAUAAUGGGUCAGCGACUUAUAUUCUGUAGCAAGGUUAACCGUAUAGGGGAGCCGAAGGGAAACCGAGUCUUAACUGGGCGUUAAGUUGCAGGGUAUAGACCCGAAACCCGGUGAUCUAGCCAUGGGCAGGUUGAAGGUUGGGUAACACUAACUGGAGGACCGAACCGACUAAUGUUGAAAAAUUAGCGGAUGACCUGUGGCUGGGGGUGAAAGGCCAAUCAAACCGGGAGAUAGCUGGUUCUCCCCGAAAGCUAUUUAGGUAGCGCCUCGUGAAUUCAUCUUCGGGGGUAGAGCACUGUUUCGGCUAGGGGGCCAUCCCGGCUUACCAACCCGAUGCAAACUACGAAUACCGAAGAAUGUUAUCACGGGAGACACACGGCGGGUGCUAACGUCCGUCGUGAAGAGGGAAACAACCCAGACCGCCAGCUAAGGUCCCAAAGUCAUGGUUAAGUGGGAAACGAUGUGGGAAGGCACAGACAGCCAGGAUGUUGGCUUAGAAGCAGCCAUCAUUUAAAGAAAGCGUAAUAGCUCACUGGUCGAGUCGGCCUGCGCGGAAGAUGUAACGGGGCUAAACCAUGCACCGAAGCUGCGGCAGCGACGCUUAUGCGUUGUUGGGUAGGGGAGCGUUCUGUAAGCCGUUGAAGGUGGCCUGUGAGGGUUGCUGGAGGUAUCAGAAGUGCGAAUGCUGACAUAAGUAACGAUAAAGCGGGUGAAAAGCCCGCUCGCCGGAAGACCAAGGGUUCCUGUCCAACGUUAAUCGGGGCAGGGUGAGUCGACCCCUAAGGCGAGGCCGAAAGGCGUAGUCGAUGGGAAACAGGUUAAUAUUCCUGUACUUGGUGUUACUGCGAAGGGGGGACGGAGAAGGCUAUGUCAGCCGGGCGACGGUUGUCCCGGUUUAAGCAUGUAGGCGGAGGUUCCAGGUAAAUCCGGUACCUUUUAACGCUGAGGUGUGAUGACGAGGCACUACGGUGCUGAAGUGAUAAAUGCCCUGCUUCCAGGAAAAGCCUCUAAGCAUCAGGUAACACGAAAUCGUACCCCAAACCGACACAGGUGGUCAGGUAGAGAAUACCAAGGCGCUUGAGAGAACUCGGGUGAAGGAACUAGGCAAAAUGGUGCCGUAACUUCGGGAGAAGGCACGCUGAUAUGUAGGUGAAGUCCCUGCGGACGGAGCUGAAAUCAGUCGAAGAUACCAGCUGGCUGCAACUGUUUAUUAAAAACACAGCACUGUGCAAACACGAAAGUGGACGUAUACGGUGUGACGCCUGCCCGGUGCCGGAAGGUUAAUUGAUGGGGUUAGCGGCAACGCGAAGCUCUUGAUCGAAGCCCCGGUAAACGGCGGCCGUAACUAUAACGGUCCUAAGGUAGCGAAAUUCCUUGUCGGGUAAGUUCCGACCUGCACGAAUGGCGUAAUGAUGGCCAGGCUGUCUCCACCCGAGACUCAGUGAAAUUGAACUCGCUGUGAAGAUGCAGUGUACCCGCGGCAAGACGGAAAGACCCCGUGAACCUUUACUAUAGCUUGACACUGAACACUGGUCCUUGAUGUGUAGGAUAGGUGGGAGGCUUUGAAGCGUGGACGCCAGUCUGCGUGGAGCCAACCUUGAAAUACCACCCUUUAAUGGCUGGUGUUCUAACGUAGACCCGUAAUCCGGGUUGCGGACAGUGUCUGGUGGGUAGUUUGACUGGGGCGGUCUCCUCCCAAAGAGUAACGGAGGAGCACGAAGGUUGGCUAAUCCUGGUCGGACAUCAGGAGGUUAGUGCAAUGGCAUAAGCCAGCUUGACUGCGAGCGUGACGGCGCGAGCAGGUGCGAAAGCAGGUCAUAGUGAUCCGGUGGUUCUGAAUGGAAGGGCCAUCGCUCAACGGAUAAAAGGUACUCCGGGGAUAACAGGCUGAUACCGCCCAAGAGUUCAUAUCGACGGCGGUGUUUGGCACCUCGAUGUCGGCUCAUCACAUCCUGGGGCUGAAGUAGGUCCCAAGGGUAUGGCUGUUCGCCAUUUAAAGUGGUACGCGAGCUGGGUUUAGAACGUCGUGAGACAGUUCGGUCCCUAUCUGCCGUGGGCGCUGGAGAAUUGAGGGGGGCUGCUCCUAGUACGAGAGGACCGGAGUGGACGCAUCACUGGUGUUCGGGUUGUCAUGCCAAUGGCACUGCCCGGUAGCUAAAUGCGGAAGAGAUAAGUGCUGAAAGCAUCUAAGCACGAAACUUGCCCCGAGAUGAGUUCUCCCUGAGACUUUAAGUCUCCUGAAGGAACGUUGAAGACGACGACGUUGAUAGGUCGGGUGUGUAAGCGCAGCGAUGCGUUGAGCUAACCGAUACUAAUGAACCGUGAGGCUUAACCUU